AAAAAUUGUUUCUUUGUUAUUUAUGUUUAGUCUGAAGGACUCAGAGUAUUUAAAACUAUUACAUUUGUACUGGAUCCUGAAGCCAAACAUGCAACAUUUCAAGGUCGCACUCAUUUCUCAACUAUCAGAAAUCACAUUGAUAAAAUCAAGAAGCAGCAGUUUACAACUAUAGAUUUGGCAUUGCCUAAAGAUGUCAUCAAAGGAACAGAAUUCUGUGGCAUUUCAGCUUUUGGUGAUUUAAUGGGUGAUAUCAUCACACAUGGUAUAGUCCGCUCCAAAAGUUUUGUUGACCAACCUUUAGUCAAUGCAGAAGAAGUCAUUGGUGAUCUUGGGCCAGCUGUCUUUGCUCUGCAGUAUGUCAAUGACACUAAGUUGCUGACUGAUGAGUUGAAAAACAAAGGGCAACGUUUCUUGUUACAGGGAAUAACUCGUCUGUUGAACUACAGAAAGGAAAAUGCAUUUAGUUUACAUACAGACUCCAGUCCAGCUACCUGGUGAGUUAGCUACUUACUUCUACUCACAGAGUU
rnacentral:sRNA from 1 species